rnacentral:rRNA from 1 species
UGGGGGAUAUUGCACAAUGGGCGAAAGCCUGAUGCAGCGACGCCGCGUGGGGGAUGAAGGCUUUCGGGUUGUAAACCUCUUUCGCUAUCGAACAAGGCCCGCUUAGGGUGGGUUGAGGGUAGGUGGAGAAGAAGCGCCGGCUAACUACGUGCCAGCAGCCGCGGUAAUACGUAGGGCGCGAGCGUUGUCCGGAAUUAUUGGGCGUAAAGGGCUUGUAGGCGGCUUGUUGCGCCUGCUGUGAAAACGCGGGGCUUAACUUCGCGCGUGCAGUGGGUACGGGCAGGCUUGAGUGUGGUAGGGGUGACUGGAAUUCCAGGUGAAGCGGUGGAAUGCGCAGAUAUCUGGAGGAACACCGAUGGCGAAGGCAGGUCACUGGGCCAUUACUGACGCUGAGGAGCGAAAGCAUGGGUAGCGAACAGG